rnacentral:rRNA from 1 species
GUAAGGUGGAGCUAAUCUCAUAAAGAUAGUCUCAGUUCGGAUUGUGGGCUGCAACCCGCCCACAUGAAGUCGGAGUUGCUAGUAAUCCCGAAUCAGCAUGUCGGGGUGAAUGCGUUCCCGGGUCUUGUACACACCGCCCGUCAAGCCAUGGGAGUUGGGAGUACCCAAAGUCAGUGUCCUAACCGCAAGGAGGGAGCUGCCUAAGGUAAUACCAAUGACUGGGGUUAAGUCGUAACAAGGUAAC